UACAGAGGGUGCGAGCGUUGUCCGGAAUUAUUAGGCGUAAAGAGCUCGUAGGCGGUCUGUCGCGUCGGCUGUGAAAUCCCGAGGCUCAACCUCGGGUCUGCAGUCGAUACGGGCAAACUAGAGUAUUGCAGGGGAGACUGGAAUUCCUGGUGUAGCGGUGAAAUGCGCAGAUAUCAGGAGGAACACCGGUGGCGAAGGCGGGUCUCUGGGCAAUAACUGACGCUGAGGAGCGAAAGCGUGGGGAGCGAACAGG
rnacentral:rRNA from 1 species